rnacentral:rRNA from 1 species
GACGAACGCUGGCGGCGUGCCUAAUACAUGCAAGUCGAACGAACGGAUAAAGAGCUUGCUCUUUUGAAGUUAGUGGCGGACGGGUGAGUAACACGUGGGUAACCUGCCUCACAGCUGGGGAUAACAUCGAGAAAUCGAUGCUAAUACCGAAUGUGCUGAACAUCAUAAGAUGUUCAAGUGAAAGACGGUUUCAGCUGUCACUGUGAGAUGGACCCGCGCUGGAUUAGCUAGUUGGUAAGGUAAUGGCUUACCAAGGCGACGAUCCAUAGCCGACCUGAGAGGGUGAUCGGCCACAUUGGGACUGGGACACGGCCCAAACUCCUACGGGAGGCAGCAGUCGGGAAUCUUCGGCAAUGGACGAAAGUCUGACCGAGCAACGCCGCGUGAGCGAAGAAGGCCUUCGGGUCGUAAAGCUCUGUUGUUAGAGAAGAACAUGGGUGAGAAUAACUGUUCACCCCUUGACGGUAUCUAACCAGAAAGCCACGGCUAACUACGUG